ACAUGACAACGGAUGAUGUUCUAUUGAUAUCAUAGGUACAUCAUGUUUAGUAAUUAAAGAUAAAUGCACAGAGCCUAAAUGCCCUGAUACAUUUUUAUGCUCCCGGUAGGGUGGCAUAUUGCAGUUGUACUGUCAGUCCGUUUGUCUGUCUGUCUGUGUGUGUGUGUCCGUCCGAAAACUUUAAUAUGGGCCAUAACUUUUGCAAUAUUAAAGAUAUCAACUUGAUAUUUGGCAUGCAUGUGUAUCUCAUGAAGCUGCACAUUUUGAGUGGUGAAAGGUGAAGGUCAUCCUUCAAGGUCAAAAGUUAAAAAAUACAAUCCAAGGGAAGUAAUAAGCUUUAAAAGGGAGAUAAUUUCUAAACCUGCCAAAUGAUAUAUUAAAAUUUUAUUUCAAAGCAGCACAUUAAGGUCUCAUUGGCCAACGUGCAACAAACUCUUUUAAAAAUUAAAGUAUUUGGCGAAUACCCGGGAAACCGGGGUAAAUUUGACCUACUUUGACUCUAAAAUUAAUCUUUUUCUCCUGAGAGGUCACAGGGGCAGGUCGGGCUACCGUAACCUCGUGAAGAGGCCAGUAGGACCUGUAAAUAAACUCUGAAACACACACACGGGCAUUGUGUUUCGGACAAACACCAUUCUUGUCUAAUGAUGCCAUAGCUAGUGAGGUAACUUCAAGGUUUUAAAGCGAAGUAUUAAAAUUAUUAAACGGCAUUAUUACACUCCCGCAAAGUCAUCAAUAAUGUAAAAGCCAUUAUUUGAAACUGGAAUAAACAAUGUAGUGCAACUGUUUCAUUGCCCAAUCAAUGCUGUCAUAAAAGAUGUCAGGUGAUAAGGUCCUAUUUCCAGUUGCAUAAUCUGCUCUGCAAUGACCAGUCAUUUUGAAUGUAACUUAAGUCAUUAUAACUGCACCCUAUUGUCAAUUUAAAGGUUUCACAAUGUAGCUGUAGCAGAGCAUUUACACUGCUUUAUAUACUAGUAUUAAUCUUGUACAACAAGUUGGUGUAUCACUAAAUAAAUUUGGUCUUCUGCUUAAGGAUAUAACAUGCACAAUAUAAUUACCAUUUUUAUAUCGAUACACAGAAGACCUCUAACCACUUAUUUGAUGAUACACCAAAAUGAACAGCAUCUAAUUACAUGUAUACUUCUUUAUUAGGGUAGCUUUGCUUGAAACUUAAUUAUCAUAGAUACACUAUAAGUGCUAAAAUUCCUAGUGGGAAAACAAAGUUUAACCCUUCAUGGAUGGAAAAGUUGGACAACAGUGGAAAAACACUGGGAUCAUGGUGCAAGAGAGAUACCGGCAAUGAGUUUGCAAGAUAUUGUACUGUCUGAAUGAAGUCCAUCUUGUAGUAAUUCUGGUGCUAAUCAACUUAUAAGUCAUGCAGAUGGAUAAAAACACAAGGAAAUCAUGAAAUACAUGCAUGAUAAUUCACAAAAGCGUUUGUUUGGAAGUGCCCAAAAGCCAAGCAGCUCUCAGGGUUGUGGGGAUAAAUCUAUCUGUAUGCAAGUACAUCCAUCACACAAGGAACAGGUACAAAAGGCUGAAAUCUUCUGGGCCCUUAAGGUAGCUUCAAGUGGGUAUCCAUACAAAACAUGUGAUGGCACUCCUGCUCUGUUUCAAGCUAUGUUUCCUGGACCUGUGUCUAAAAAAUAAGUAUUACGUAUUCCUACUUUUGAGGGAAAAGUUCCUACUUUUUCCUACUUUUUUCCUACUUUUCUUGCAAAAGUAGUUCCUAUUUUUUCCUACUUUUUGAAAAAAGGUCACUUGACAGCCUGCGUAUGCAAAAGGGAAGUAACUGAAAAAAUCAAGUUAUCUCAAUCGGACUGGCUCGGUCUUUUACAUAGGCCGCCAUUGUGAGAAAGUUUUCUACUGGUUAUGAAACCUUGGACGACACUGUUCCAGCAUCGUCAAAAAUUCGAAUCUUAGGACUCAAUGAUGAUAAAGUGAAAGCCAUAGUGACGUACAUGACAUUAGAAAUAAAUGUUUAACUCUGGCAUGCAUUUCUUGGUGUUUCUGUGCGAGAAAGAAAAGUAAACAUUUCUUGGUGUUUCUGUGCGAGAAAGAAAAAAUGUGCUACCUGAGGAAAUGAUGGCAGAGUUGAAACAGAUCAAUUAUGAGUCACCAGUGACAAAAAUAAAUGUGGCAGUGAACAAAAUACCCAACUUCAAGGCAGAUCCUAACUCCUCCAGUAAUGUUGUCAUGCCCCACCAUCGCUGUACCAUCCAUCUGAACUGUGAGGAUUCAAAGAAUAUCGGGGAGGCGUACCUAAAGGCACAAAUCGACGCUUACUCAAAACGUCCAAUGAUUGAGUUGAUCAUCCCGUCCAGCCUUGACCCAACCUUGGCCCCGCCAGGUCACCACGUGAUGCUGCUGUUUACUCAGUACACACCCUACACACUGGCCGAUUAAAGAACUUGGUCUGAAGAGGAGAGAAAUACAUACGCUGACAUUGUGUUUGACUGUAUAGAAGACUUCGCUUCAGGGUUCAAGGACAGUGUUGUAGGUCGAGAUAUCCUGAGCCCUCCUGACCUUGAAAGGGUGUUUAGCCUCACUGGAGGGAAUAGGGCUUUACAAAGACAUGGAAGAGAUGCAAGAGGAACAUUUUCCAUGGGGCCAUGUCCCUGGACCAACUGUACAUGAGUCGCCCGAUGCCAGCCAUGUGUAACUACAGGUCACCUGUGAGGGGACUAUAUCUGUGUGGUAGUGGAGCUCAUCCAGGGGGCGGAGUCAUGGGGUCACCAGGGCGACUGGCAGCCAUGAUGGUUAUCAAGGACAGGAAAUAAGAGGGCCAAAAAUUGGGCCUUGAGCAUCUAUGAUGAUGCAGCCGAAAUGAAAAGCCGUUUUGCUAAGGGUAGACCAAAACUAUAUUGAUAUUGUAGUGUCUGCUUGUUGAACUAGAAUUAUUGUGUGUUGGACCAACGAUACAGUGAUGGCUGUAAUAGCUAAUUUUAUGUAUGUGGAUAUGAUAAAAAUUGUGCUCAAGGAUUUACCUUUUCCACUGCAGUAUAUAGAGACUAACAGGUUAUUGUCCCAUCGUUUUGUACAGGGACCUAUACAAACAUAUAUAUGUUUGUAUAGGUCCCUGUUUUGUAAUAUAUCAGGCAAGGCUUAGAAUAAUAUAAUUAUUUUAUUCAUGCCGAGCCUGAUAUAUUACAUAACAAUGGGACAGUAACCUGUUUUUCUGUUUAUCAUACCACCUUUCCCUAAAAAUCUGCAAAACAAUCCAUUUAGUAUAUUUAAAAUGUACGGAUCCCCGCUGAUUUUGCUGAUCCGGCUUUUACACGUUUAAAUAUAGGAGGUUUUGGCGUGACGUCACAAGAGGGUUUUUCCGUUACUAAAAAUAGAUUGGCCGUCACACCUCGAUGCGGCCAUUUACAUUGUAUUAGAGUUAAGGUCGUCGGAAGACUAAAUACUGACAAUUUCACAAAACAAAACUACAAAUACCGGUAUUCUUUCUUAAAGGCGGACAGUCGCUCCUACGCUGUUUUGACAGGGCGGACAGUCGCUCCUACAUUAUUUUGCCAACCCGGACAAUCGCUCCUACAUUAAUAUGUCAACCCGGACAGUCGCUCCUACAUUAUUUUGACUCCACAGCACAAAGUUUACGCCGAUCAAAGGCUAACACCUAUAAUUAACCGACAAUUAAAAUUACCGACUUGUUAAAAGUAAGCCGAUUCAACAUGAGCCGAUCAAUGUGAUUUUAAUAAAUUAAUUUACUUAUUAAGAAACUAUGUUACAGUUUGUCGAUUUUUUAAAUGUAAUUUAGCAAACUGUGAAAACAAUAUGUACCGGUAUAUAUUGUAAUGCCCUACACCUUCAAAUUCACUUCCAUCAUUGAACUUUUAACCAACAAACGCGGUCAGUCUGUGCUAUGCUUAGACGGUCAUUCGUAUUCCAAGAAGCACACGUCAAAGUCAACAAUACGAUGGGUAUGCAGUAAAAGUCGUUCCGAUUCCUGCAAGGGAUCGCUCAUAACAGAUCUAAGUGUAAGUCGACAUAUAAAAAAAUAGUUGUAUUGUUAUUUUGCACAUUCAUGCUCACGAAACAUUUAUUGUGUAAAUAACAAGGUGCCUAAACCACGUGACUUUUUCGGCUAUGUGUGGGACAAUCGGAUGUAAACAAAACGUCGCUUCAGGUAACGUUUUUGACAAUUUCUUCAUUCUUUCAAAACCAUUUUCAAAAAAACAUAGACGAGUGCCCAGUCAUUGUAAAAAGACACAACUUUGUUAAGUUUGCGCAAAAUUAAUUAAGUAUUUUUUCCAAAAAGUGCAACCGCGUGUUUGAAAACACAUGAAGUGAAAUGCUAUGUGAGGUAUAUUUUUUGUUCAAUCAACAAAAACAUUGAUUAUAAUAUUGUCGAGGGUUUAAAAAAUAGGGCGGACAUUGUUAUUCUUCAUAGAUAAGCUACUUACAUUGUAUGUUUGCGCAAAUACAUCUAAUUCGGAGUGUGUGUAUAUAAAUGUUUAUCAGCUAUGUGUGGGACACAUUUUUUUAAAUGCUAUGUGUGGUAUACAAGAAUUUGCCCGUCAGUUCUGCAUUUAAUCUGAACACAGUUUUGUAAGAAUCUAGAGCAUCAACUUUAGUCUGUCCUGAAAAUAUAUCAAAUUAACCAAAUGUUACAUUAUUGAAUACUGAAGUAAUCGUGUAAUGAUUAAACAAUUUAUGUUUAACUGAACAUAAUUCUUAUAAACGCAUACAUGUUAGGUUGAAAUAUAAUAUUUCUUUGUUUUACUUAUUGUCUUUAAAUAAAUAUAAUGAUUGAUAUUUCUGCCUGAUUAUUGAAUUUGGUCCAUUUUUUAAUGAAUGACACAGAAAAUAAGAGCACAUGCUUUAAAAUGGGUUUUACUUCUAUUGUUUUUCAGAAUUGAAAAGGAUUAGUCGAAAGAUCUGUAACGCUUUUAAGGUUCGAAGCUGUGUAAGAACUACAUGAACACCAUCAAACCACACGGAAGGUGAUAUGUGGCAAGUUAAUUAUCAAAACCACAGUGACAGAGACAGGGACCCCGCUUCAUUCUGUGAUGUUUAUGGAAAGCUAUUUCAACUAACUAUGCAAACAUACAAUUUAACAUGUAUUUUUGCAUAAGCAAAACAAAGCGUGUGUAUUGAUAUGUGUGUAUAUUUAUGGGUUUUGUAUCUAUGUUAUUACUAAAAUUGAUUAGAUGAAUAGAAAAUCUGAUUAUGUGUGUUAAUAAAACAGGUGUUUCAUAACAAAUUACAAUUUAAAUCCAAU